rnacentral:pre_miRNA from 14 species
UUUUCGUGGUCAUUGAAAGACCCCCAGAGUGGGGAGACCCUCACUCAAGUCUCGGGAUGACGCAACCCCCCAAGAACUCACACAAGACC